CAAUAGCGUAUAUUAAAGCUGUUGCGGUUAAAAAGCUCGUAGUUGGAUUUCUGUCAAGGACAACUGGUCCGCCCCUCGGGUGAGCACAUAGUUUGGUCUUGGCAUCUUGUUGGAAACUGUUGCUGCACUUGGUUGUGUGGCGCAGUGUCCAGCACUUUCACUUUGAGGAAAUUGGAGUGUUUCAAGCAGGCACAUGCCUUUGGACACAGUAGCAUGGAAUAAUUGGAUUGGGCUUUUGCUCCAACUUGUCGGUUUCUGGAGCUGAGGUGAGAAUUAAUGGGGAUUGUUGGGGGCAUCCGAAUUUAGCCGUCAGAGGUGAAAUUCUUGGAUCUGCUAAAGACGGACAACUGCGAAAGCGUUUGCCCAGGAUGUUUUCAUUGA
rnacentral:rRNA from 1 species